rnacentral:rRNA from 1 species
UACGUAGGGUGCAAGCGUUAAUCGGAAUUACUGGGCGUAAAGCGUGCGCAGGCGGUUCUAUAAGACAGAUGUGAAAUCCCCGGGCUCAACCCAGGAAGUGCACUCGAAACUGCGAGGCUAGAGUAUCGGAGAGGUUGGUGGAAUUCUCGGUGUAGAGGUGAAAUUCGUAGAUAUCGAGAGGAACACCGGUGGCGAAGGCGGCCAACUGGACGAAUACUGACGCUGAGAACACGAAAGCGUGGGGAGCAAACAGG